GUGUAGUUUGUGUAGUUAUGGUUUGAAAACAUUCACUUAACAUGUACUCUUUCAUAAUAAAUCGAAUAUGAACAUUGCUGUUGAUGCAGUAUCAACCUAUUAUGAAAUAAGUGGAAUUUGCGAUAAUUAUUCAACACUAACGCAAUGAUUCACUUGAUGAAAUCACCUAAUUUCUUUCGAUUUAAACAUGUACAUCUGACGGAUUUUAUGUUAGGGAUGUGCCUAUACAAAACAUAGAGUUAUAAUACAUGAGAAUUAAGUGAAAGAAUCUUUGUUACUGUUAUUACUAUAAAUACUUAUUACGGAGUUUAAUGGUUUUCAUAUAAACAGCAACAGGCUUUGAUAGAAAAAAAGAUGGACGUCACAAGAAACAUGACAAUACAAAUAAACGGGAGUAAACAUAUGAAUGAAACGAUAAACAACAACCUUAAUCUUCAGAUUAUCGAAUGGAUAUCCUUUGUUAUUCUCCUUGGAAUAGUAAGCUUGAAUAUUUUGGUUAUGGCGCUACUGCUUUCACGAAAUAGAAAAUCUAGAAUGAAAUUUUUCGUUUCCAACUUAGCUUUUGCAGAUCUGUGUGUAGGAAUAUUUUAUGUACUACCAAAAACGUUGUUUAAUCGGUUUGAAGUGCCAUGGAAUCCACACGUGUGUUAUAUUUACUAUGAGUAUUUAUGCAAUUGUAGUUUUAUCAAUUGACCGUGCAUAUGUCAUUCUUAAACCAUUGGCUGCUGCUUCUAAGAGCAAAACAUAUCGUGAUGGACUGGCAUUAUCAGCAUGGGUAGCAGGAUGUCUUCUUGCAAUUCCUUACGGGGUCUUCGGUGUUUACCUUGAAGAUGAUAUUGACUGUACACAUACAUUUCCAAACAUAGUGGUGAUAUUAUAUUCGGAUCUUUCUAGUAUCAUAUCAUUAUAACACCAGUAACAAUGAUAACUGUGUGCUACAUUGUUAUCAUCAUUACGAUACGUCGCCGUGAAAGAAAUGGAUAUUUGCAAGAGAAAAACAAGGAUACGAAUAAAGGCUGCAGUAUCGUUGUUAGAGAUAAAAGUAUAUCAAAGGCAAAGAUUAGGACCAUAAAAUUACUGUUUGUUUUUGUGUUUGGUAAGAAUUGUUUGAUUGGUAAUGAUUACUAGUAACUUAUUUUUCGACUCAAACCGCAAACUUUAUUUAAACGUCACUUGAUAAGUCUGUACCUAUAAGUGUUUUUGUCGUGUUAAGAGUUUAAGUUGAUUUUCAUAAAUUUUCUUACAGAAUAUCAAAUGAUGUGUUGACGGUUUACUUGCAGCCAAUCAAACACUGGUCAGUAGCUUUUCAGACAAUUCAGUACUACAUUGGUUGUUACUGGCAAAUAAAAACUACUGAACAACCUGACAAAAGACUGAAUAUAUAGUAUUUGAUUGCAAUGUAAUUGUCUUAACAGAACCAAAUUUACUGCAGUGUAUAUUCCUUAUAAGUCUGAUCAUGUUUUGGUUUUUAUGAUCUGCUCAGGUCAAAAUUGAUUUAGUGGUGACUCUUUGAUUUAUAAUUAAAUCAUUAAAAAUAAACAAUGAAUUUAUUAAGAUUUUAUCAAGUAUGCGUCAUUAGUUAAAACUACCCAAAAUAUUUAUUAAUAUUUCAUCAAGUAUGCCUUAUUUAACUGUUGAACAAUAUUAUAAUAUUAAAUUGAAAAGGCAAAAACAGUGAAUGAUUGAAAUCGACAUAAUAGAAGCAUGAUAAGUUUUACAAUCACCUUCACUAAUAGGAAUUAGAUGACCGAUACUAUAUGUAGUGUUUCUUAAUUGACUAGCGACAUGUGUUUGCGUUCCUAGAUCUUUAUAUACCGAAAUAAUCAAACGAACGGUACACGAUUGUGUAAUAUUCCUGCAUGAUUUGUUAUUU